rnacentral:rRNA from 1 species
UAGAGUUUGAUCCUGGCUCAGAUUGAACGCUGGCGGAAUGCUUUACACAUGCAAGUCGAACGGCAGCACGGGAGCUUGCUCCUGGUGGCGAGUGGCGAACGGGUGAGUAAUGUAUCGGAACGUACCCCGUCGUGGGGGAUAACUCUCCGAAAGGAGAGCUAAUACCGCAUACGACCCGAGGGUGAAAGCGGGGGACCUGGGGUAACCUGGGCCUCGCGCGAUGGGAGCGGCCGAUAUCGGAUUAGCUAGUUGGUGGGGUAAAGGCCUACCAAGGCGACGAUCCGUAGCGGGUCUAAGAGGACGACCCGCCACACUGGAACUGAGACACGGUCCAGACUCCUACGGGAGGCAGCAGUGGGGAAUUUUGGACAAUGGGCGCAAGCCUGAUCCAGCCAUUCCGCGUGAGUGAAGAAGGCCUUCGGGUUGUAAAGCUCUUUCAGCAGGAACGAAACGGUGGUCUUAAUACGGCCUGCUAAUGACGGUACCUGCAGAAGAAGCACCGGCUAACUACGUGCCAGCAGCCGCGGUAAUACGUAGGGUGCGAGCGUUAAUCGGAAUUACUGGGCGUAAAGCGUGCGCAGGCGGCGACAUAAGACAGAUGUGAAAUCCCCGGGCUCAACCUGGGAACGGCGUUUGUGACUGUGUGGCUAGAGUGUAGCAGAGGGGGGUGGAAUUCCACGUGUAGCAGUGAAAUGCGUAGAGAUGUGGAGGAACACCGAUGGCGAAGGCAGCCCCCUGGGUUAACACUGACGCUCAUGCACGAAAGCGUGGGGAGCAAACAGGAUUAGAUACCCUGGUAGUCCACGCCCUAAACGAUGCCAACUAGGUGUUGGGGGAGGAGACUUCCUUAGUACCGUAGCUAACGCGUGAAGUUGGCCGCCUGGGGAGUACGGUCGCAAGAUUAAAACUCAAAGGAAUUGACGGGGACCCGCACAAGCGGUGGAUGAUGUGGAUUAAUUCGAUGCAACGCGAAAAACCUUACCUACCCUUGACAUGUCCGGAAUCCCGAAGAGAUUUGGGAGUGCUCGAAAGAGAGCCGGAACACAGGUGCUGCAUGGCUGUCGUCAGCUCGUGUCGUGAGAUGUUGGGUUAAGUCCCGCAACGAGCGCAACCCUUAUCAUUAGUUGCCAUCAUUGAGUUGGGCACUCUAACGAGACUGCCGGUGACAAACCGGAGGAAGGUGGGGAUGACGUCAAGUCCUCAUGGCCCUUAUGGGUAGGGCUUCACACGUCAUACAAUGGUCGGUACAGAGGGUUGCCAACCCGCGAGGGGGAGCUAAUCUCACAAAGCCGAUCGUAGUCCGGAUCGCAGUCUGCAACUCGACUGCGUGAAGUCGGAAUCGCUAGUAAUCGUGGAUCAGCAUGUCACGGUGAAUACGUUCCCGGGUC